UACGGAGGGGGCUAGCGUUGUUCGGAAUUACUGGGCGUAAAGCGCACGUAGGCGGCUUUGCAAGUUAGAGGUGAAAGCCCGGGGCUCAACUCCGGAAUUGCCUUUAAAACUGCAUCGCUAGAAUUGUGGAGAGGUAAGUGGAAUUCCUAGUGUAGAGGUGAAAUUCGUAGAUAUUAGGAAGAACACCGGUGGCGAAGGCGGCCCACUGGAUCGGUACUGACGCUGAGGUGCGAAAGCGUGGGGAGCAAACAGG
rnacentral:rRNA from 1 species